CAUCACUGUAAAUUAGUCGCAGUAAAGCAGUGCUAUAGGUCAAACAAAAAAUGAAAUUCAUAUUCAUGGGAAUAUUUCUGAGCGUAACAUUUUCUUUAGUGAAAUCCAGUGGGGUGGUUAUGGCGCAAAAACAUUUACAAUUAGUGAAAGUUAAAAUUAUAACAGCAAAACGAUCUAAUGCAACUAGAAGAACGAUGAUAGUUCAAUGCUGCGGGAAUAAGCAUCAGUGCACAUCAAGCAGUAACUCGAAUUACC